AGAGUUUGAUCAUGGCUCAGGACGAACGCUGGCGGCGUGCUUAACACAUGCAAGUCGAGCGGAAAGGCCCUUCGGGGUACUCGAGCGGCGAACGGGUGAGUAACACGUGAGGAACCUGCCCCUAGUUCUGGGAUAGCUUCGGGAAACCGGAAUUAAUACCGGAUACGACCACGGUCGGCAUCAACUGUGGUGGAAAGAUU
rnacentral:rRNA from 1 species